rnacentral:rRNA from 1 species
CACAAGCGGUGGAGCAUGUGGUUUAAUUCGAUGCAACGCGAAGAACCUUACCUACUCUUGACAUCCAGAGAACUUUCCAGAGAUGGAUUGGUGCCUUCGGGAACUCUGAGACAGGUGCUGCAUGGCUGUCGUCAGCUCGUGUUGUGAAAUGUUGGGUUAAGUCCCGCAACGAGCGCAACCCUUAUCCUUUGUUGCCAGCGGUCCGGCCGGGAACUCAAAGGAGACUGCCAGUGAUAAACUGGAGGAAGGUGGGGAUGACGUCAAGUCAUCAUGGCCCUUACGAGUAGGGCUACACACGUGCUACAAUGGCGCAUACAAAGAGAAGCGACCUCGCGAGAGCAAGCGGACCUCAUAAAGUGCGUCGUAGUCCGGAUUGGAGUCUGCAACUCGACUCCAUGAAGUCGGAAUCGCUAGUAAUCGUAGAUCAGAAUGCUACGGUGAAUACGUUCCCGGGCCUUGUACACACCGCCCGUCACACCAUGGGAGUGGGUUGCAAAAGAAGUAGGU